ensembl:lncRNA
CGACGGUAUUGAUAAGAAAGAGAGCGAAAGUGUAUGUUAUUUCUUUAAAUCUCUUGAAACGUGAAACAGCUAAAAAUAGAACAAUUUAACACCUCAAAUCAGUCAGAUGCAAACCAUUUGACAUCCGGGAAAUAUUCAAAUUAGCAAGGACACAAAGAUUAAAUCAGUGAUGAUGUGCGUCAGUGCAGUCAUUGAGCGAGAGCGCGCAUCGCUUCGGUGCGCAGGUGGAUGUCUGCUCACAAUAGCGCGACUGUCUCGCGCCACAGGUAGUAGCUGUAGCUGGACUCAGGUGUUGUAACACGACACUGAACCAUGUGAUCAGCGAUGAGAAUUUAGGAAGAAGAAGAAGAAAAAAAAACAGCUCGAGCAUUCACUCAACACACUAGUAAAUAGGCUACCCACUGCACAAGACCACCAUUGAUCUCGAAGGACAAUGUAUUAUUAUUAUUAUUAUGAGCAUUACGCCGGAGUAUUGCGCUAGUUUCGGUUUAAAUACUUCAUUUCACCGGUAAGGUGAGGCGGAAGCGAGCUACGGUCAGAUCUAUUGGAUAUAAAGUCUACAUAUAUUCGUCGGGAAACAUCGUGGAUUAUGAAGGUGGACACACAGCCUGCUAGAGACAGACAGGACUAUUUUUAUUCUUUGAUCUUGGACAUGAUUUAUUGAUCAGCUCUGCUCCACCCUACCCGGAGCUUCAGCCCCUUCUGGUUGAGGGUAGAGGUGCAGACUGACUCCAUCAAUCCGGAGAUGAUACGGCAGGUUGGGCUGUUGGCAGGGAGUUUUCUGCUGCUGCUUCUCAGGAAUGUUUCGGCCCAGGGGGAAACAACCACAAUGCCCAGUAACUCAACAACUCCCAACCCAGUAAGUAGAGAUUCUCCUGAGGUGGCCCUAAUAUUGUGGCCAUUGUGGUACCAACUGUGGUCCUGGGACUGCUGGCUAUUUUAACAGCGGUUCUGUUGUUUCUGUUCUGCGUGGUAAAGAAGAAGAGACAGACGGAAGGGACGUACCAACCCAGCGCAGAGGAGCAGUCAGGAGUGCGUAGUGUAGAGACGCCUGACGCUCUGAAACUACCCAAGGAGGAGAGACUGAUUUGACACACUGGUUUAUGAAGAACCUACAGCACAUGAUACCAGUGACUCAAUUCCAAAAUGGUUAAAUGGAUAAACAUUAACUAAGGAACGUUUCUGAAGGCACAAGGCACAAACUUAGCCCUGUGUUUUGGCUAAACAAAGCGAGUCUGACUACUUGGAAGAAACUUGAAGGAACAAAUCGUCUCUCGAAAAAAGGCAACAUAUUGAUCUGCACGUGCAUCUCUCUAGCAUUUUAUGCCUUAAACUUUUCUCUGAAUACUUCAUUUUGUGUUGUGUUACCUGUUUUAAUGGUUGCUUUACACAUACAAAUGCUGAUGUUUGUAUGUAGUGUUGAGAUACAUUUAAAGGUGAAGCAUGUAAUUUCUGCACCCCUGGUGUCACAAAACAGAAUUGCAGUUUGUUUGUUUUGCAUUCAGAAUGAGCCAGACUUAAAAGGGAUAGUUCACCCAAAAAUGGAAAUUCUGUCAUCAUUUACUCACCCUUAAGUUGUUGUUCUGUUGAGCAGAAAGAUAUUUUAAAAAUGUUGGUAACUGAACAAGUUGACAGUAGCCACUGACUUCCAUAGUAUGGGGGAAAAAUACUAUGGAAGUCAAUGACUACCGUCAACUUUUUAAUGACAAAAUUUUAAUUUUUGGGUGAACUGUCACUUUAAAUGUCAUCAGCUUAACCAAUGGUGUUAAUUUGGGGGCAGGACUAUUUGUUUGACUGAAUAAUGGAAGCUUGGUUAAAUUAGUCAUUAUUUUUGCAUUUCUGUUUGUUAGCACUAGAUUAUGCACACUACACCUUUAAAUAUUUAUUCAAAUCAGUUUGCUCAUAAUAUAGGAUGUUCAUGCUCUUAUAUAUGUUUGUUGAAACCACUUUUCAAAUUAUUUCAAGAGCCGUAUUUGUCUUGAUUUACCUCAGUAAUGUUCUCAAUCUAUAUAAUUUAAUCUAGUAUUAAUUUUCUAGAAAUUUGUUCAGUGCAACAGUCAAUUCUACUUGGAAUCAUUCUUGAUUCUUUUAUCAUAGCAUGAAUGUUUACAUUCAAAUAUUUCAUGCAUUUUUUUCACUGGAGUGCCUUUUCAAAUUUCAGCUUUUUAGAAUCUGUUAAAUUGUGCCGUUUAUAUUUAAGAUUAAAAGACACAGCCAGAUGCCUUUGCUUUUAUAAAUGGUUAUUCCAUA